rnacentral:rRNA from 1 species
GAUGAACGCUAGCGGCAGGCCUAAUACAUGCAAGUCGGACGGGAUUUGGGAGCUUGCUCCCGAUGAGAGUGGCGCACGGGUGCGUAACACGUAUGUAACCUACCUUUGUCAGGGGGAUAGUCUCUCGAAAGAGAGAUUAAGACCGCAUAACAUUACAAUGUGGCAUCACAAAGUAAUCAAAUAUUUAUAGGACAAAGAUGGGCAUGCGGAACAUUAGCUAGUUGGUACGGUAACGGCGUACCAAGGCUACGAUGUUUAGGGGAUCUGAGAGGAUGGCCCCCCACACUGGUACUGAGACACGGACCAGACUCCUACGGGAGGCAGCAGUAAGGAAUAUUGGUCAAUGGACGGAAGUCUGAACCAGCCAUGCCGCGUGCAGGAAGACGGCCCUACGGGUUGUAAACUGCUUUUGCAGGGGAAUAAACCCCGAUAUGUAUAUCGGGCUGAAUGUACUCUGAGAAUAAGGAUCAGCUAACUCCGUGCCAGCAGCCGCCGUAAAAC